rnacentral:sRNA from 1 species
GGAGCAGGCCUUUCAGGCAUCCUCUCCCAAACUUUCAAGGGCCGACCGGGCAACUGGUCGGCCCCUUUUUUUGUCCUUG